UGGGCGUUGCGGGAUUGGGGCCUGGGAUCUCUUGGCCCCGGCAGCUAAGAAGCCUGUGACCGGGCGAAGCGGCGCCAUCCCAGCCCUGAGGCCUGCUGACCGGUGAGGAGCAGGGACUAGAGUAGGGAGGGUUACUGUGGCUUAGGACGCACUUCAAAGUGCGGACUCCUGAUCUUGGCGGCCCAGUGGCAUUCUUCCGCCCCCUCAGCACCCCUUUGUUCUAAUAACCCGGGUCCAAGUCUCCUCCGGUCCCCUUACCAGUAGCCGACCCCCCAGUACCUCCGCCCGUUCAUCCUGGCAUGUCCACAGCCUAUCUAGUCCCCUGCCGUCUCCGAUCCCUGAUCCAGCACCCCUCAUCCAGAGCCCUUGGUCCCCGCCCCCCGAAUUCCCGCAGUCCUUUGGUCCGUGCUCAGCCCUGGGUCCCACCCCGCAGUCUCUGGUGCCGGCCCUGACAGCUCCGGGCCAGUCGCCCAUUGCAUUGCUCUCCACCCGGGUACAGACAGGCUCUGCGUUCCCCGCUGAGGUCGGCGGCCACUACCAGCGACCGCAGAGCUACAGCGGGCAGCCCCGGGCAUGUAUGCCCCUGGAGGCGCCGGGCUGCCGGGAGGGCGCCGGCGGAGAAGCCCGGGAAGCAGCGCUCUUCCUAAGCAGCCGGAGCGGAGCCUGGCUUCGGCCCUGCCUGGCGCCCUGUCCAUCACAGCGCUGUGCACUGCCCUCGCGGAGCCCGCUUGGUUGCACAUCCAUGGAGGCACCUGUUCCCGCCAGGAGCUGGGGGUCUCAGACGUGCUGGGCUAUGUGCACCCGGAUCUGCUAAAAGAGAUCCAGAAAGAGAAGAGAAUCGAGUUCUCCAUGCUUGCCCUGCAUGGUGGCAUCACCGAUACUGCCUCCCAUCAGUUGAUGCCAGAACAAAGUGGCGCUGACUCCUUAAUUGUGUUUAUCUUUUGUUUUUCUUCAUCGGUUGUAAAGAAGGCUAUCACGAUA
rnacentral:lncRNA from 1 species